UACGUAGGGAGCAAGCGUUGUCCGGAAUCAUUGGGCGUAAAGCGCGCGUAGGCGGCCCUGUAAGUCCCCUGUGAAAGUCAAAGGCUCAACCUUUGAAAGCCGGUGGAUACUGCAGGGCUAGAGUCCGGAAGAGGCGAGUGGAAUUCCUGGUGUAGCGGUGGAAUGCGCAGAUAUCAGGAGGAACACCAAUAGCGAAGGCAGCUCGCUGGGACGGUACUGACGCUAAGGCGCGAAAGCGUGGGGAGCGAACAGG
rnacentral:rRNA from 1 species